rnacentral:lncRNA from 1 species
AGCUCAGUGGAAGGUAAGCAAUUGGACAAAGCCAUCUAAACCCAAAGCAAUGGCUCGAUGGAGUUCACCAAGGAGGAUCUUGCUCUGAUCUAAAUAUGCAGUGGAAAUCUGAUGUGAUCUAGGCUGCUGCACCUCAUCCACUAAAACCAAAUCCUGGGAAAGAUUUCUAUGAGAUGGUUUCUGUCAUUCUUCCUAAACUGGGAGCUAAGUGAUUAAUAUAGAGGAAAACCCACAGAUAAACAUAUCUCUGCAAAUGCGAAUAAAUACUAAACUGCUGGUAACCAACAUCCCCACCCUUUAGCACUUCAGUCAAAGGCGCACUUCAAACAGAAGAAUCUGAACCACAAAUUUAGCCAAACAGUCUCUACUACCUUCAGAAAGGCUUCCAGAAGUUAUUUUCCUCCCAGACCUCCUAGAUUUCUAAUUUCUCUAUUCCUGCUAGGGGGGACACUACUACCCAAUCUAGGAGUAUCUUGGAAGAUUCAAGUGGGAAACCAUUCAGAUCUGUCUCUUCCCCUCAGAGCAUCAACAUUUUAAUGUCUCUACACAAUGAAGGAUUCACAAGGAAAGUCUCAAAUCCCAUAGCAUUGCUUACAAGCAGCAUGACAACAAGGAUGAAGCCAGAGAGGCACCUAUGGUACAAAAUUUUAAAAGCAUGAAUUUUCCUCAACGUUAAGAAGAGAUGCAAUGUUCAUAAUGAGG